AAAUUCACUUAUUUUGGACUUUUGCAAAACUGGGCCACCUUUUUCGUUUUUGCAGAUUCGGUCCACUUUUUUAGCAAACUGACCAAAAUACCCUUAUUACUUUUUCUCUUUCCUCUUUCUCUCUCUUCUUUGUUUCUCUCGUUCUUUUUUUUUUUUCUCGCCGGCAGAGCGGAGGCGGAGUGGAGGCGGAAACGGUCCGUCUCGCUUCUCACCCUCAUGCUUUCGCCCUCGCCCUUGCCCUCGUCCAUGCACCCCUCAUCUUCCUCACCUCCGACCCCGCCAAGGCCGCGCCGCGACUUUUUUUUUUUGUUUUUUUCUUUUCUUUUCUUCUCCGACUCUUCUCCACCGUCUCCGACGACGACGCCUCUCGCCCUUCCCCACCCUUCUCAUCUCUCCCUCUCCCUCAUUUUCUGCCGCCUCCGACGACGAUUUAUCUUCACCGGCGUCGACGUCGACACCGUAGAGGUCACUGUAGCGCUACAGCCUCGGAGCGGGGGUUCUUAGCGGCGUCGUCACCGGCGCCGUAGCUGUUGGCAAAGAAGGUGACAAAAAAAAUUAUGGAAAAAACAGAAAAAAAAAUAAAGAUAAAAAAUUAUAUAAAAAGAAGGAUGAAGAUGAAAUUGCAUUUUUAAUUACAAAAAAAAUUAUAAGUUGCACUAUUUAAGAUGUAAACUGUUGCUUUAAGAUAAAAAUUAUACUCUUUGAACGAAAAUUAUACUAUUUUUUAUCUUAAACUGCAUCCUUUUAAGCGAUAUUUAUACUGUUUCUCCUCUUGUUUACACAGAAAUGGUGCAACAAGAGGAGAAACAGUGCAACAAGAGGAGAAACAGUAUAAAUAUCUCUUAAAAGGGUGCAGUUUCUCCUCUUAUUGCAUUGUUUCUCC
rnacentral:lncRNA from 1 species